rnacentral:snRNA from 1 species
CUCAUUUCUCGACUUUUCAGCUAAGAUCAAGUGUAGUAUCUGUUCUUUUCAGUUUAAUAUGUGAUACAUCCUCUAUCUGAGGAAGAUAUCUUAAAUGGAUUUUUGGAGCAGGGAGCUGGAAUAGGAGCUUGUUCAGUUUAUUCCAUGCAUCAACCUGGUAUUGCAAUACCUCCAGGAACAGUAUAUCCCCU